GACAGAGGGUGCAAACGUUGUUCGGAAUUACUGGGCGUAAAGCGCGUGUAGGCGGCUUGGAAAGUCGGAUGUGAAAAGCCCUGGGCUCAACCUAGGAAGUGCAUUCGAAACUUCUGAGCUGGAGUUCUGGAGAGGAAGGCGGAAUUCUCGGUGUAGAGGUGAAAUUCGUAGAUAUCGAGAGGAACACCGGUGGCGAAGGCGGC
rnacentral:rRNA from 1 species